rnacentral:rRNA from 1 species
GAUGAACGCUAGCGGCAGGCCUAACACAUGCAAGUCGAGGGAGAAGCCUUUCGGGGCAGAAACCGGCGCACGGGUGCGUAACGCGUAUGCAACCUACCUUUCACAGGGGGAUAGCCCGAAGAAAUUUGGAUUAAUACCCCAUAAUAUUGUUGGAUGGCAUCAUCUGGCAAUUAAAACUGAGGUGGUGAAAGAUGGGCAUGCGUCCUAUUAGCUAGUUGGAGUGGUAACGGCACCCCAAGGCUACGAUAGGUAGGGGUCCUGAGAGGGAGAUCCCCCACACUGGUACUGAGACAGGGACCAGACUCCUACGGGAGGCAGCAGUGAGGAAUAUUGGUCAAUGGUCGGAAGACUGAACCAGCCAUGCCGCGUGCAGGAAGAAUGCCUUAUGGGUUGUAAACUGCUUUUAUAUGGGAAGAAUAAGGUGUACGUGUACAUUGAUGACGGUACCAUAUGAAUAGCAUCGCUAUCUC